UCCCUGGAGGACUAGUGGUUAGGCCUUGGCGCUCUCACCGCUGCAGCCCGGGUUCAAGUCCUGGUGAGGGAA
rnacentral:tRNA from 1 species